rnacentral:rRNA from 1 species
UGAGCCAAGUUUAGGGUUUUCUCAAAACCCAAGCAGUAUUGAACUGAAGAGUUUGAUCAUGGCUCAGAUUGAACGCUGGCGGCAGGCCUAACACAUGCAAGUCGAGCGGAUGAAAGG